rnacentral:rRNA from 1 species
AGUGAACGCUGGCGGUAGGCCUAACACAUGCAAGUCGAACGGCAGCACAGUAAGAGCUUGCUCUUACGGGUGGCGAGUGGCGGACGGGUGAGGAAUACAUCGGAAUCUACUUUUUCGUGGGGGAUAACGUAGGGAAACUUACGCUAAUACCGCAUACGACCUACGGGUGAAAGCAGGGGAUCUUCGGACCUUGCGCGGUUGAAUGAGCCGAUGUCGGAUUAGCUAGUUGGCGGGGUAAAGGCCCACCAAGGCGACGAUCCGUAGCUGGUCUGAGAGGAUGAUCAGCCACACUGGAACUGAGACACGGUCCAGACUCCUACGGGAGGCAGCAGUGGGGAAUAUUGGACAAUGGGCGCAAGCCUGAUCCAGCCAUACCGCGUGGGUGAAGAAGGCCUUCGGGUUGUAAAGCCCUUUUGUUGGGAAAGAAAAGCAGCAGGUUAAUACCCCGCUGUUCUGACGGUACCCAAAGAAGAAGCACCGGCUAACUUCGUG